GAUCUUAUGGAUAAGGGUACCGAUGCUGUUGAUAUAUUGGAAGGAAGAGCAUACAAAUUACAAUUUCCAUGGAUAGGUGUUGUCAACCGUUCUCAAGCAGAUAUUAAUAAAAAUGUUGACAUGAUUGCUGCCAGGCGUAGAGAAAAGGAGUACUUUUCUAGCACCCCUGAGUACAGGCAUCUUACCAAUAGGAUGGGGUCAGAACAUCUUGGGAAAGUUAUGUCAAAACACUUAGAGGCUGUUAUCAAGUCAAGAAUUCCAGGUCUCCAGUCUCUCAUCAACAAGACCAUCAUUGAUCUAGAAAGUGAAUUGAGCCGUCUUGGGAAGCCCAUUGCAACCGAUGCUGGAGGAAAAUUGUACAUGGUUAUGGAAGUUUGUCGCACUUUUGAUGGAAUCUUUAAAGAACAUCUUGAUGGAGUUCGACCAGGUGGAGAUAAAAUAUAUAAUGUCUUUGAUAACCAGCUCCCAGCUGCGUUGAAAAGAUUGCAAUUUGAUAAGCAGCUUUCAAUGGACAAUGUAAGGAAACUUAUAACUGAAGCUGAUGGAUAUCAACCCCAUCUGAUUGCUCCUGAGCAAGGAUAUCGUCGUCUUAUUGAAUCUUCCUUGAUUUCUAUCAAGGGUCCUGCUGAAGCAGCUGUCGAUGCGGUUCAUGCUAUACUGAAGGAUCUGGUUCACAAGUCAAUUAGUGAGACUUCAGAGCUAAAGCAAUAUCCUUCUCUAAGAGUUGAGGUCAAUGGUGCAGCUAUUGAAUCAUUAGAAAGGAUGAGGGAUGAAAGCAAAAAAGCAACUCUACAGCUUGUUGAAAUGGAGUGUAGUUACCUGACUGUAGAUUUCUUCCGGAAACUUCCUCAAGAUAUUGAGAAGGGAGGGAAUCCGACACAUUCUAUUUUUGACCGUUAUAAUGAUUCCUAUCUUCGAAGGAUAGGGUCAAAUGUCUUGUCUUAUGUCAAUAUGGUUUGUGCAACUUUGAGGAAUUCAAUUCCGAAGUCUGUAGUUUAUGGUCAAGUACGGGAGGCCAAACGCAGCUUGCUUGAUCAUUUCUUCACUGAUUUAGGCAAGAAGGAGGGGAAACAGCUAGGUACUUUGUUGGAUGAGGAUCCAGCAAUUAUGCAGCGUCGUCUCUCUCUGGCAAAGAGACUUGAGUUAUACAGAGCUGCUCAAGCUGAGAUUGAUUCAGUAGCAUGGUCUAAGUAAACACAACUACACAAACUUCCAUUUUUCAUCACUUCUCGUUCACCACGAUUUGCGUAUAGAGAUAGGUGACCAGUGAUUCUUUGCCUCGAUUUGUAUUUCUUAUUGUAGUAGUUAUAAGUAGUGAUUAGGUUAAAACUGCGGUUGCGUAGCUAGUCUCAUCGACAGUACUAAAAGCCAUUGUAUGGACUUGAUAUUGCUAUUACAUCUUUGCUUGUAGAGUAUAUAUUGAAUGUGAUGUGUUGCCAUU
rnacentral:misc_RNA from 1 species